rnacentral:rRNA from 1 species
AUUGAACGCUGGCGGCAGGCUUAACACAUGCAAGUCGAGCGAGCGGCGGACGGGUGAGUAAUGUCUGGGCAACUGCCGCAUGGAGGGGGAUAACUACUGGAAACGGUAGCUAAUACCGCAUACCAUCAGAUGUGCCCACAUGGGCUUAGCUGGGUGGUGGGGUACUGGCUAUCCUGGCCGAAGCUCCCUAGCUGGUCUGAGAGGAUGACCAGCAACACUGGAACUGAGCCCCGGCCCGGAGUCCGCCGGGAGGCAUCAGUGGGGAAUAUUGCACAAUGGGGGCAAGCUGGAUGCAGCCAUGCCGCGUGUGUAAGGAGGGCCUUCGGGUUGUAAAGCACGUUCAUCGAGGAGGCGUUACUCGCAGAAGAAGCACCGGCUAACUCCGUGCCAGCAGCCGCGGUAAUUC